rnacentral:rRNA from 1 species
GAUGAACGCUGGCGGCGUGCCUAAUACAUGCAAGUCGAACGAACAGACGCGACUCUUGCUUCUCUCAUGUUAGCGGCAGGCGUGUGAAUAACGCGUGUAUCACCUACCUGUCAGACUGAGAUCACUUCGAAACACCGGAGCUAAUACCGUAUGAUAUUUUGAACCACAUUGUUGAAAGGUGAAAUACGGUGUUGCGGUCUCUUCUCGCUGGUUACGCGCUGCAUGAGGUGGUUGGUAAGGUAACGGCCUACGAAGGCAAGGAUGCAUAGCCGAGCUAAGAGGGUGAUAGGCCACACGGGAACUGAGACACGGUCCAUACUCCUAAGGGAGGCAGCAGUAGGGAAUCUGCCGCAAUGGGCGAAAGCCUGACGGAGCAACGGCGCGUGAGUGAUGAAGGUCUUCGGAUCGUAAAACUCUGUUAUUAGUGAAGAACAUAUGUGGAAGUAACUGUGCACAUCUUGACGGUACCGAAUCAGAAAGCCACGGCUAACUACGUG